rnacentral:rRNA from 3 species
AUAGCCUCAGUAACGGCGAGUGAAGCGGCUACAGCUCAAAUUUGAAAUCUGGCCUCCUUUGGGGGUCCGAGUUGUAAUUUGCAGAGGAUGCUUUGGCAUUGGCGGCGGUCUAAGUUCCUUGGAACAGGACAUCGCAGAGGGUGAGAAUCCCGUACGUGGGCGCCUGCCUUUGCCGUGUAAAGCUCCUUCGACGAGUCGAGUUGUUUGGGAAUGCAGCUCUAAAUGGGAGGUAAAUUUCUCCUAAAGCUAAAUACCGGCCAGAGACCGAUAGCGCACAAGUAGAGUGAUCGAAAGAUGAAAAGUACUUUGGAAAGAGAGUCAAAUAGCACGUGAAAUUGUUGAAAGGGAAGCGCUUGCAGCCAGACUUGCCCGCAGUUGCUCACCUAGGCUUUCGCCUGGGGCACUCUUCUGCGGGCAGGCCAGCAUCAGUUUGGGCGGUCGGAUAAAGGCCUCUGUCAUGUACCACCCCUCGGGGUGGCCUUAUAGGGGAGGCGUAAUGCGACCAGCCCGGACUGAGGUCCGCGCAUCUGCUAGGAUGCUGGCGUAAUGGCUGUAAGCGGCCCGUCUUGAAACACGGACCAAGGAGUCUAACAUCUAUGCGAGUGUUUGGGUGUCAAGCCCGGGCGCGCAAUGAAAGUGAACGGAGGUGGGAACCCUUCGGGGUGCACCAUCGACCGAUCCUGAAGUCUUCGGAUGGAUUUGAGUAAGAGCAUAGCUGUUGGGACCCGAAAGAUGGUGAACUAUGCUUGAAUAGGGUGAAGCCAGAGGAAACUCUGGUGGAGGCUCGCAGCGGUUCUGACGUGCAAAUCGAUCGUCAAAUUUGGGCAUAGGGGCGAAAGACUAAUCGAACCAU